UUACUACUCCUACUCGAUGAUGAUCG
rnacentral:sRNA from 1 species